rnacentral:rRNA from 1 species
CUACGUGCCAGCAGCCGCGGUAAUACGGAAGGUUCGGGCGUUGUCCGGAUUUAUUGGGUUUAAAGGGAGCGUAGGCCGUAGAUUAAGCGUGUUGUGAAAUGUAGAUGCUCAACAUCUGACUUGCAGCGCGAACUGGUUUACUUGAGUGUGCACAACGUAGGCGGAAUUCGUCGUGUAGCGGUGAAAUGCUUAGAUAUGACGAAGAACUCCGAUUGCGAAGGCAGCUUACGGGAGCACAACUGACGCUGAAGCUCGAAGGUGCGGGUAUCAAACAGGAUUAGAUACCCUGGUAGUCCGCACAGUAAACGCUGGAUGCCCGCUGUUGGCUCAUUAGAGUCAGCGGCCAAGCGAAAGCAUUAAGCAUCCCACCUGGGGAGUACGCCGGCAACGGUGAAACUCAAAGGAAUUGACGGGGGCCCGCACAAGCGGAGGAACAUGUGGUUUAAUUCGAUGAUACGCGAGGAACCUUACCCGGGCUUGAAUUGCAGACGAACGAUUCAGAGA